UAAAACAUUCUACCCUAGCAAAAGUAAGGAACAGAUUCUUGCUAAUCCUCCUGAAACUGUGGAUUCUAGUGAUUGGACUGCUUUUGUGCAUCACUAUAAAGAGGAGAAGAUGAAGGUAAUUGUUCUUUUAUAAAAGAAAAUUUUUCUCACUUAAUUCAUGUCCAAUAUAUAUAUAUAUAUAUAUAUAUAUAUAUAUAUAUAUAAUUUGAUGUUUGAGAAUUGCGUACACAAAAUGAACAAAAUGCAAUAAAUCGAAGUAAACUUGAAGUCCCCCAUGCCGGUGGUAGCAAAAGCAAUGCAAGGAGAGGUCGUCAAAUGGAGAAAAAGUAUGGAAGGCCUGUGUGUUGAAGUGAGGUUGUUUUGUCAACUUUACUGAAAAAGAAUGGCAAUUAUGUGAAUGAAGAAGGGAAGAUUAUAGCUGAUAAAAUAACGCAGCAUCUAUCUGAAGAUCAAGAACAUGCUGCCACUUUAGGUGUUCCAUUGAAGAUAUUGGCUCAUCCUAAUGACGCCAUUGGAAAAGCAUAUGGAGCUGAACAUUCUGGUCGUGUGCGUGGUUUAGGUGGUAAUGUUUGCCCCUCGACUGCUUUUGGAAUGUCUAAACAUUCAAUUAGUCAUGUGAAUCUUGGUGGUUCUAGUAAUAUGCCUCAUCAACGUGUUGAAGACCUAGAGAAGCAUGUAGAAACCUUGGAAGGGAAGCUGACCGGAUAUGAAGAGACCAAGGAACAACUUGUGGAGACCAAGGAACGCCUUGUGCAAAACGAGAAUCACUUGGCAACUCUUCAUAGGUUUUUACAAGCUAAAUUUGGUAGUGAGUUGCCUAGUUUCACCUUAGAUUCUUCUUAGCCUUUUGUGCAUAGUAUGCUUUUGAAUUUAAACCACUAAAUAUGUGGUGAACCUCUAACUUUUUGCAUUUCCAUUAUGCUAGCAAUUGUGGUAUCUUUUUUGUAUAAUCAAGGCUUGAAACUUAUGUUUUGGUAUAUAUGAUAAAGUAGAAAUUGAAACUUUGAUCUUUAUAGCAAUACUUUUUGUAUUAUGACCAGUGUAAUCUGUGAAUGCCUAUUGUAAUUGUGUUUUGCAAAAAAAAAAAAAAAAUGCACAUUUGCCACGGUUCAACCGUGGCUAAAUAAAUAUGAUUAUUUUGUAAGCAAAUUGCAUAAUGCCUUAAUUAGCCACGGUUCUCAUGUGGGUAAUUAAAAAUUUCAAAUAUAAUUCUUUUUUCCUGCAGCCAAAUUUACCCAUGGUUUGGCCGUGGCUAAAUGUAAAGGCAAGCGUGGCUAAAUAAAGGUAACCACGGAUGCUAAAACCGUGGCUAAUGCGCGAGCGACGCCCCGUAUGGGCACGCUUGUAACCGUGGCUAAACUGUUGUGGCAAAGUUGUGUUAGCCACGGUUUUGGUGCCCUUUAGCCACGGUGUUGCGC